GGGGUUGUGGCUCAGUGGUACAGUGCUUACCUAGCAUGUGUGAGGCACUGGGUUGGAUUCUCAGCACCACA
rnacentral:tRNA from 1 species